AGCUGUUCAACAUUUCCCAUAGUAAUCCAAGUGGCAAAUACGAUCGACGAAGCAAUCAGUUAAUCAAUUUUAAAAGAUUCACAAAAACUUGAAAUGAAUCAUUUACACACAAAUCGAAGCAAGUAAAUAGGCUACAAUGAAAUUAAGAUAGGGGAGAGUGGGGUAAGAUGAGACAUUUUUUCUAUUUGGGAUCACUACAUCAAGGCAAUCAUAGUUUUGUCUCUAACUAGUGUAUCUGCAAAUAUUUCAAGAUGUUGUGCAUCCCUGCAAACCAACAGAAUGAGUGUUAACAUAACUGUCUUGAUAAUAUAGCAUGCCAAAAAAAAAGGGGGUCUCCUAUGGUCAACUUACCCCGUGUCUGGGGUAAGUUGACCAUAGGAGCGGGGUAAGUUGAGCCGUAUCCCUACUACCCCUACUCAACUUACCCCACUCUCCCCUACAAUUAAAA